rnacentral:rRNA from 1 species
GAUGAACGCUGGCGGCGUGCCUAAUACAUGCAAGUCGGGCGAACAGACGAGGAGCUUGCUCCUCUGACGUUAGCGGCGGACGGGUGAGUAACACGUGGAUAACCUACCUAUAAGACUGGGAUAACUACGGGAAACCGGAGCUAAUACCGGAUAAUAUAUUGAACCGCAUGGUUCAAUAGUGAAAGACGGUUUUGCUGUCACUUAUAGAUGGAUCCGCGCCGCAUUAGCUAGUUGGUAAGGUAACGGCUUACCAAGGCGACGAUGCGUAGCCGACCUGAGAGGGUGAUCGGCCACACGGGAACUGAGACACGGUCCAGACUCCUACGGGAGGCAGCAGUAGGGAAUCUUCCGCAAUGGGCGAAAGCCUGACGGAGCAACGCCGCGUGAGUGAUGACGGUCUUCGGAUCGUAAAACUCUGUUAUUAGGGAAGAACAAAUGUGUAAGUAACUAUGCACGUCUUGACGGUAACUAAUCAGAAAGCCACGGCUAACUACGUG